rnacentral:lncRNA from 1 species
UGACUUUUCGUAGCUGGUUAGGGCUAAAACGCAUUACCUUGACAAAAACUGGAUCCCUUCUAGCUAUAUCCCGUUGUCCGAGGUGACUAAAACGUGUAUUUAUUUUCUGACUCCUCCUUCAAAUCUGACAAAGACGUCAUCAUCCGAAACGUACUGCGCAUGUCAGGCAUCACCAUGGGGAAAGCCCUUUCCCUCCUGCCCAAGCAGGCAUGCCACGAAGACUCCCAGGACAGCCUGACCACCACCCAGGAGGAUGAUGGGAAGAGAGAGGAUGUGUCCCAGUUCCCCUACGUAGAGUUCACUGGCAGGGACAGCGUCACAUGUCCCAGCUGCCAGGGCACUGGGAGGAUACCUAGAGGCCAAGAGAACCAGCUUGUAGCAUUGAUCCCAUACAGUGACCAGAGACUCAGGCCCAGGAGAACAAAGCUGUAUGUGAUGUCCUCGGUGUUUGUGUGUCUGCUGCUGUCCAGCCUGGCUGUCUUCUUCCUGUUCCCUCGUACCAUAGACGUCUCCUACGUGGGCGUCAAGUCGAUCUUCGUCACCUAUGACGAGGACAAGAGGAUUGUCUAUCUCAACGUGACGAACACUCUGAACAUCACCAAUAACAACUACUACAGUGUAGAGGUGUCCAACGUCACAGCCCAGGUCCAGUUCUCCAAGACAGUGAUCGGGAAGUCCCGCAUCAAUAACAUCACUGCUAUCAGUCCUCUGGGCAUGGAGCAGGUUGACUACAUGGUUCCCACCAUUCUAGCAGAUGAGAUGAGCUACAUGUAUGAUUACUGCAGCCUGCAGACCAUAAAGGUGCACAACAUCGUUGUCAUGAUGCAGGUGACGGUGACGACGAUGUACUUUGGCCACAUGGAGCAGGUCACUCAGGAGAUGUACCAGUAUGUAGACUGUGGAGGUAACACCACCACUCUGAGGGGGGCGCAGCCCAAGGUGUCUAAUGCCCCAAUACCCCCAGAGUAACCCCCCUUGCUCUACCUCACCUGAGCCGGCCCUGGAGAAGGUCCUUGGAAGCUAGUCUUACAUCAGAAAUCUGGCAGAACUACUGGUUGUUUAGGCUUGUGCUCCAGCCCUUCUCUAACACGGCUGGUCAGUUGAAGAAGGUAUGUUCGAGCAGGGAUACGCGUUUGCACCCAGUAGCUCUCCGGGAGGAGAGUUGGCCACCCCAGCCGUAGAUGGAUCACUGUUUUUCUCUCCACCACCCGUCUACCGAUGAAGACCCCACUGUAGAUGUCAUGUAUUUCUGUGUUCGCUCACCAUUGUGUUGGGAGUAUAUGCCAGAUGGGCAAUGGAGGGGGAAAAUGUGUCUACUGACAAAAAUAGUGUUUUUUUAGACAUUAAAAACAAUUAAGUACCAUAAUGUUUCAGUACCAAACCAUUAUGCACUUUAUUAAUGCAUUUAACAUUCAACUUCUCAUUGUGUUAAUGUAAAAUGUUACGAAGCCACUCCACACUCCUCCAAACCACUUGAACAGUAGAUGUCUGAACUAAUAAUCCUCAGUCUAUGGAAGAGGAUAACCUCAGUUCUCUCAGUAAUCUGGGCUCAAAUCUGUAUCUCUAUGAUAGUCAAAGGAGUUGAACCAACAGAUCUGGGACCAGUCAACUAUUCUCAGUCAGACCUCACGUAACACAUUAAUAAUGUGUAUUAUUUAAUUCUGCUGAUAAGUCAGAGGCACAGUGAGCCAAGUCUGAAAUGACACCUAUGACUAUAGAACACACUACUAGGUCUCUAGCCAAAGGUAGUGCGCUAUAUAGGUUUCUCAAACUAAACUCUGGACCUCAAAGCCAGUUCCACUGCGUUUUGUUCAUGGUCCCUUCUAAUCUGGGACUGAUUUUAGACCUGGAACAACAGGUGUGUGCAAUUUAAUUGUCAGGUAGAACAGAAAACUAGCAGGCUCUGGACCUCGUAGGGAGAGUUGAAUAGCCCUGGUAUAGGGGAUAGGGUGGUGUUUGGGGUGAAGCCAGAAUGUGGCAUUUCUCAUAUGUAUAAGCUUGUAAUGACCAGGCUCUCCUCUAGAGGCCUCUCUGUACAAUCUGGAUUUGGACCAGUUGUUUACUAAUAUUAGCCUCUGUUGGGUGAUCAAACUGUGUUAAUGUGUGAUCUAUUGAUUGAAUUGAAAGGCUUAUGUCCAUAAAAUGGAGUCAUUUUAAAGAAAUUAAGUUAUUAAAAGUCCCUUCCACCACUCUGUUCCCAAUUGGUACAAUAACAAGAUUGAUUGAUAGUCAUUCAUUAUCAGUAAUUUACCUCUUCCUUCUGAGUUCGUGCCUACGAGGGACUCGCAUAAUGUUUUGUGAUACCAACCUACUGCUGACUUGAAUUCGACCAACUUAGUUUUUACAUGCAUAAAGAGGAUCACCGGCAAGGGACUUUGUACGUUUUUGAUAAAUGACUUCCCUGCAUAUCAAACUCAGUUGAAGAGUUUAGAACUACCUAGAUUUAAUACCACGUUUGUAAUAUGAUUCCUACCUACAUUGCGGAAAACCUUUUUGAAAUGUACAACUCAAAUAGAAACUACCCUCUGUCAUAGAAAUAUACCUUGAAUUUCUUUAUGAAUUCUCAUACCUAGUAGUUUGCCGUUAUCUAAUUUGCAAUUUCCUAGGUUAUCGUAGAGCACAACAUUUAACAUGUGUACAGUCAUUUGUUCCUAAUCAAUUAAUCUUGUAUGGAAGAGUGGAUCAGCUUUUGAAUGACUGUUAGGAUUGAGUGAAGACUUGCAGUACUACUGACAUCAACUAGAAGAGUGGUUUGAGCUGAUGAGGCUGUUCUUCCUAAUGUCUACUACUGCUGUGGGGUACUGACAUUUAUUUUGAUUAACGGUAUUUGACUAAAUGUAAAUACAAGAAAUUUUUUUAAAUGUACAUGUAGUUGUGUUUUUAUUUGCUUUUCAUCAUGAUACAUUCAAAAUGGUUGAUCACGAUUUGUCCUACCUAGUUUUAUUGCGUGGUUACCCUUUCUGAAAGCGUGAAUAAAGUUUUCGACAUCUCAUUUGUCUCUUGUAUUUUCUUCUGUCUUUGUUCAUGCCUUUUUAUUUAACCAACCUCAGAGGAACUGGUAAGAAAUGGAACACACGUGCAAAUUAGCGCAUGAAUCAGUGUGACAUCACAAUUCACUCACAAUGCACUCAUGAACCCAUAGAAUUGUAAUCAUACUGCAAAACUUGUCUCCUGAGCAGAAGUGAACUCACACAAUGUUGCCAUGGGGACAGUUGACAGCCAGUGGGGACAGUUUUUACAUCAUAAACACCAUAUGUGACGUCAAACACCUGUCUGCAUAAAUAGCCUGUUUUGGCACAUUUAAUUUCCCUAGGUGGCUGAAGGUACGUUGGUAACCAUGCACUUUCAGCCCAAUUUGGAAGAUGAUCUUCCUUUUGCCUUACAGCUAGAACAUGGAUCAGCAGUGACAUUACUUGUGAACAAUGCUGCCCCUGCCCCUUACAGUGCAGGUGGGGUAUACCAGAUGUACCACGCAGCACCAUCAGCCUCCUGGCACGGUCUUCCUGUGUACCAAGGCCCCCCACCUCACCAGCUGGCCUUGACCACUUCAGAGAUACACAGGGAGACUAUUCCCAUGGGUCCUGUUGAAACACCUGAGACAAGCCAGCAUCAGGACAUUUUAGACUUGAGCCAGAGUUCAGAGUCUUCUGAGCCACCCAAGAGGAAGAGAAAGAAAAAGAAGAAGAAGAAGAAGCAUGCUGCACCUAAACAGAGGGACCCACAUGGCAGCUUUGAUUGGACCAGCCAAGAACACAGCACUACAGAGAAGUACAAGAGGAUAAUGUCACUGCUGAGGAAAGACGGGGUGGAGGUGGUGGAUGAGACAGGUACUAAGGGACUAACAGACACUGACAGUGAGUCUGACCAACAUGUGAAUCAAAUGAGGAGAAAGAGAGCAGUGAGUAAAGGAAAAAAACAGAGCAUCAAAGGGAAAAAAGCAACAGUGAAAAGUAGGAGCCGAAACCAGGCUAACCGACUAAACCGAGACAAUGGAGAUUUUCAGCAAUCUGACAUAUCCUCAUCUCUGCUGGAGACACAGGCCGUUGGGCCUGCACUGGAGCGGUUAUUCUACCUACCAGCAGAGGGCAAUGAUGGGGAAGACCUGCUCGCCGAAGUGUUGGAAGAGCUCUCAGGGGUUCCAAGAUACCCAGACCUCUCAGAGGAAGCUUUGAGCAACAUGACCCUAUCACAAUAUGCCACUCUCAUGAACAUGUUCCCCCAUCCGCAGCUUCCGCCCUUACCCGUACCCUCCUUCCUCCCUCUGCGACCUAACGUCGGCCCAGUCUAUAGAGAGACUCCAGAGUUACUCACACCAUCUACCCACUGCGACUGGGUCACCCAUGGCAACCCCAGUGAUGCCAGCAACACCAAUACAGUUGGCCAUUUUGAGGACCACUAUCCUGCCUCUCCAGAACCUCAGCAGCCAGGUGAUUCCGACUACACCAAUACCUACAGCCGUUUUGGCAACCCUUCAGCUAUAACUCCAGAACCCCUGCAGCCAGGUGACUACACCAAUACAGGCAACCAUUUGGAAGACCAACACAUUGCCUUACCUGACAAUGUGGUUAGCCAGUUUUUGGAGUCUGACUAUAUUUCCCCUGAGCCUGCCUCCUCCCCAGAGCCAGAGCUUCAGCCUUUAGUGCUGAGUGUAGAGAGGGAGCCAAUGAAGAGAGAGGCCCAGAGACUGAGGCAGCAGACAGCCAGGAUGACGUUAUAUGGCCUGGACCACAACCCACUGGCCGACAGAGAGGACUUCACACUGGAGCGCUGCCUGGACAUGUUUACUGACUGAAACACAGUGACUGUGACUACGGAACAAUAACCUCAGGAAAUCGUUUUGGGAUUUUUCACCAAUAAACAUUUGGAAUAAAGGCAACGCUCUGCUGUUGUUAAUUCUAAUCUAACGUACAUUUGUUUACACUUUAUAUAAUCUGUUGUAGGGAAUAUAAUAGAAUACCAUCAUAAUAGAUUGGCUAGUGUACAUACCGUCACACUGUUGGCUAGUUCAUUUGCUAGUCAUUUUGAUAUCUCCAUGUCUCAGGGAAAUGAAAUGUAGUUGGUGGAUUUACAGUUGAUAUCAGGCAGCGAUGAUGAUAACAUAUCAAGAUAAGGGAGAAAGACAAAAUGCUAGAUUUAUCUCCGCACUCGUUUUCUGCUGUUGGAACUGUGGCUGUCGUUCGAAACAGUCCUCUGAUUUGAAGGCCUGUGUGUGUAGGCCUUGUCCUCUUAAGGCUGAGCACCCCAAAGUACACAACAGGACAGGGCCAGACUUUUGUUCACAUGGAGACCCAAUACGAAGACAUAAUAUCGAACCCAAUCAAGCACAUGAUUCACCUUGUGAAACAUGCUGACUCAGAAGAAAGCCUAAAUAUCCUUAAUAAAAUUGAUUAGUGGUGGAAAAAGCACCCAAUUGUCAAACUUGAGUAAAAGUAAAGAUACCUUCAUAGAAAAUGACUCAAGUAAAAGUGAAAGUCACCCAG